rnacentral:rRNA from 1 species
GUACGGCCGCAAGGUUAAAACUCAAAUGAAUUGACGGGGGCCCGCACAAGCGGUGGAGCAUGUGGUUUAAUUCGAUGCAACGCGAAGAACCUUACCUGGUCUUGACAUCCACAGAACUUUCCAGAGAUGGAUUGGUGCCUUCGGGAACUGUGAGACAGGUGCUGCAUGGCUGUCGUCAGCUCGUGUUGUGAAAUGUUGGGUUAAGUCCCGCAACGAGCGCAACCCUUAUCCUUUGUUGCCAGCGGUCCGGCCGGGAACUCAAAGGAGACUGCCAGUGAUAAACUGGAGGAAGGUGGGGAUGACGUCAAGUCAUCAUGGCCCUUACGACCAGGGCUACACACGUGCUACAAUGGCGCAUACAAAGAGAAGCGACCUCGCGAGAGCAAGCGGACCUCAUAAAGUGCGUCGUAGUCCGGAUUGGAGUCUGCAACUCGACUCCAUGAAGUCGGAAUCGCUAGUAAUCGUGGAUCAGAAUGCCACGGUGAAUACGUUCCCGGGCCUUGUACACACCGCCCGUCACACCAUGGGAGUGGGUUGCAAAAGAAGUAGGUAGCUUAACCUUCGGGAGGGCGCUUACCACUUUGUGAUUCAUGACUGGGGUGAAGUCGUAACAAGGUAACCGUAGGGGAACCUGCGGUUGGAUCAC